AACUCGCCUACAUGAAGUCGGAAUCGCUAGUAAUCGCGGAUCAGCAUGCCGCGGUGAUACGUUCCCGGGCCUUGUACACACCGCCCAUCACACCAUGAGAGUUUGUAACACCCAAAGCCGGUGGGGUAACCUUUUGGAGCCAGCCGUCUAAGGUGGGACAGAUGAUUAGGGUNAAGUCGUAACAAGGUAGC
rnacentral:rRNA from 1 species